CCCUUAGAUGUUCUGGGCGGCCCGCGCACUACAAUGGCGUGUGCAGCGAGUGCCGAAGUAGAGUUUUCCGAGGUAUUCUUGCAAUGCUCGUUUUGAUGGGGAUAGACCCUUGCAACUGUUGGUUUUGAACGAGGAAUUCCUUGUAAGCAUGGUUUAUCAUCCGACGCUGAAUGCGUCCCUGCCCUUUGUACACACCGCCCGUCGCUCCUACCGAUGAGUCGUCCGGUGAAGUUCGUAGACCUCGUGAUCGCGGAUCACUGGGGGGAGCAAAAUGAACCUCGCGGUUUAGAGGAAGGAGAAGUCGUAACA
rnacentral:rRNA from 1 species